rnacentral:rRNA from 1 species
UACAGGGGGUGCAAACGUUGCUCGGAAUCAUUGGGCGUAAAGCGCACGUAGGCGGUUCGUUAUGUCGGAUGUGAAAGCCCUUGGCUUAACCGAGGAAGUGCAUCCGAAACUGGCGAGCUAGAGUACGAAAGAGGAUCGCGGAAUUCCCGGUGUAGAGGUGAAAUUCGUAGAUAUCGGGAGGAACACCAGUGGCGAAGGCGAGUCCCUGGACAACACCUGACACUGAGGCACGAAAGCUAGGGGAGCAAACAGG